rnacentral:rRNA from 1 species
UUGGAGGGCAAGUCUGGUGCCAGCAGCCGCGGUAAUUCCAGCUCCAAUAGCGUAUAUUAAAGUUGUUGCAGUUAAAAAGCUCGUAGUUGAAUUUCGGAAUCCAUCCAUCGGUCGGGCCUCACGGUCCGCACUGGUGUGAUGGAUUUCUACCUUCUGAAUAACCAGCAUGUCAUUAAUUUGGUGUGUUGGGGAAGCAGGACUGUUACCUUGAAAAAAUUAGAGUGCUUAAAGCAGGCUAGUGCCUGAAUACAUUAGCAUGGAAUAAUGAAAUAGGACGGCAUGGUUCUAUUUUGUUGGUUUCUAGGAUCACCGUAAUGAUUAAUAGGGAUAGUUGGGGGCAUUAGUAUUCAAUUGUCAGAGGUGAAAUUCUUGGAUUUAUUGAAGACUAACUACUGCGAAAGCAUUUGCCAAGGAUGUUUUCAUUAAUCAAGAACGAAAGUUAGGGGAUCGAAGACGAUCAGAUACCGUCGUAGUCUUAACCAUAAACUAUGCCGACUAGGGAUCGGAUGAUGUUAAUUUUUUAAUGACUCAUUCGGCGCCUUACGGGAAAC